rnacentral:rRNA from 1 species
ACGUAGGUGGCAAGCGUUGUCCGGAUUUAUUGGGCGUAAAGCGAGCGCAGGCGGUUGCUUAGGUCUGAUGUGAAAGCCUUCGGCUUAACCGAAGAAGUGCAUCGGAAACCGGGCGACUUGAGUGCAGAAGAGGACAGUGGAACUCCAUGUGUAGCGGUGGAAUGCGUAGAUAUAUGGAAGAACACCAGUGGCGAAGGCGACUGUCUGGUCUGCAACUGACGCUGAGGCUCGGAAGCAUGGGUAGCGAACAGGAUUAGAUACCCUGGUAGUCCAUGCCGUAAACGAUGAGUGCUAGGUGUUGGAGGGUUUCCGCCCUUCAGUGCCGGAGCUAACGCAUUAAGCACUCCGCCUGGGGAGUACGCCGGCAACGGUG